CAUGGGCGGGAAUUUGUUUUCCCCUCUCUCCAGUGCCAUCCCCUUUGUUCUCUCUAUUAAAAAACCUCUGAUCUUCUCAAAUCUUCUCCUGUACUCCUCCUAUAUAUCUCUACUACUACUGCGCUUCCUCAUAUCAUAUUUGAUCUUCAACAAUUUCUCUUCAUCUCAAUCCACUUCGUGCUUCCUUCAUUCUUGAAGAUCAAUUGCAUCAAUACUUUAUAUUUGAUCUUCAGAUCUUCAGAUACAGGUGGGAUCUAGGGUUUUUACGGUCAACAAUUUCAUUUCUACCGUUGCUGCAGUUCAGAUACAGUUCAAAUGGAGGCUCUGCUCCUCACAACUGUUGAUACUGAAUGAAGAUGUGCAUCUGAUUGUAAUGAAAAAACAGAGCCGAGAGUUAGGGAAAACUUAAAGAGAGAUCGAGCAGAUCUUUUUUUGUAGGUAUGAGCAUUCAAAAAUCGCACAAUGAUAUCAGGCUACGCUCCAUCACAGGGGCGCAAAGGAUUCAAGCGUUUGUCAACAGACAAUAUAACAUUUGGACCAAUUGAUUCAAGCACAUGUCAACAGACAAAGUCCCGUUCCCAUUGACCAGGAGCACUGCCAGGAUGAGCCGACUUACAUCUGGAGGAUGCGAUUGGUAAUAGACUUUCAUUGGUUCUUCCACCGCCACAUUUAUCCUCACCACGACCAAUUUGGCAUCACUUGCCUCAUUCUACUUGGUCCCAUCACACAAUGCCUCGCUCUAAACUGCAGAUACGACGAGACUGCAACAAGGAUUGAGCCACAUGACCUGGUUUCUAGAGGCAUGUAUGGACAUCUAACACGAGCUGCAAUGGUCUGUCAGACAGGAAGUUUCUGCUGCUUUGUAUCUAUCACGGGGUGGACAAGGUACUUUAACCCUGUUGGUGCUCCUGAGAGCAGGAAACUUGGUGAAGAUCCAAUUGGCAUCCCGAAUAAUCUCAUGCCUUACAUACAACAAGUGGCUGUUGGUAGAUUACCGGAGUUGAAUGUUUAUGGUCACGAUUAUCCCACAAAAGAUGGUACUGCGGUUCGAGACUACAUCCAUGUGAUGGAUUUAGCUGAUGGUCAUGUUACUGCACUUCAAAAGCUGUUCACAAAAGAAGAUAUAGCAAUUUUGCUUAGCAUAAUAUAUAUUGAGAUUUGUCAAAGACUAAAGUUGACCAUUGUCGGGUCUCGGGUAGGUGAAGACUUCUUGAUUUGGCCCAAAACAGGGAACCUAGAGGUGCUUUUUAAGGUAAAUUCGGGACAUAGCUUAUUUGGGAUUGUUAACGGAUGGUGUGUUGAGGACCUGAAAUCAAUGGCGUCUGACUUAACCUGCAAUUCACUUCCGAGUCUUGACAUUGCUACAAUCCGGGACAUAAUAGGGAUAUAUCUUGCUAAUUUGAUUCGGCUUCAUUGGAAAUGCGGAUCAAGAAUUAACCAUGGAUUGAUGUUGACUUCUCCUCUCAGACGAGUGCAUGAUGAUAACGGGAAAUGGAGUAAGAUCAAUGGUUCUAAUAUGCACUGGUUAUGUGUCAUGGGUUAACGGGUCAUAGAGAUAGAUAGAUAUAUAGUCGGGUCGUGGGUUUGAACAGGUCAAAGUAGCAUGUGAUUUUUAACUGUAAGGUUUGUAUUGUUUUUAAAAGCAAGUAAGUUGCUGAUUAAAUAUAAAGCAAGUAGGUUGCUCAAGAAUUUUACAACAAUCACCAAAAUUUGAUGUAUGACCUUUCACAGCUACCUUUGGCUACGUUUGGUUGGUGGUUUUUUAAGAUGAUUAUAUAUGGAUCUAAUAAUUAUUCAUGAAAUAAUUGUAAUCUCAGUUCACUUUAAUGUCAUUAUAGGUUGAAGUUUAUCUAUUUAGUUUACUCGAGAGGGAGGGUGAGUUAAUACAAGAAAAAGGCUUCCGGUUAAAAAAAAAACCUUUGCAAUUUUAUUUUUCUACAGCAAGGUUUGUGGAGUUAGGUCCUGCUUAUCGCAAUCUCACUGUGCUUCCAAAAAAAAUAUGUUUUGCUUUCGUUUCUGAUUCAGGCGUCUCAAUUUGCUUCUCAACUACAGGUUCGUUUUGCCGUUAAAAUUAGAUACAUAUGCUUUAUUUAUUCUUAAGUUUUAAAUUGUUUUUUGCAUAUAACAUUGAUGUGUUUAUUUACUAAUCACUGAAUUAUUAAUCAUUAAAUUUUGGGAUAGGUUAGAAUGAUGCUCAAGGUGUAUUUGGGUUUAUGGUUUGACAAUGGGAUGUGUAAUGUGUAAUAUGUUGGGCCUGUUGAUAUCUAAAAUUUUGUGAUGACUAUAGAAUUUGCUUCCCAUGUUUUUUAUCAAA